CACUAAUCAAUACACAUAAAAGUAAAUGAACUGUACAUGAACUAAAAAGUGUCUGGAGUUUCCAAAGUAGGAGAACUCAUCACCUGCUGGCUGGAAUCUGCAACUGUCUGAUCGUGAUGUGUAGGCUAUAACUGGUACCUAUAUUAUGAGGAAAUGUAGCCACACAGGCGUAUAUGCGGAUCAGUACUUUUGAAAUGUACUGAGUAUGCAAGGGUGAAUACAAUAAGUAAAACUAAUUUCAUACAUAUUCGUAAAACAUACAUUCUAAGUGUAAGUAGACUCACCAAUAAGCAGGAAUAAACUAAAAAAUGAAAACAUCUUAAAACAUGAGUAAUAAACAUGAUCUGAUAAUAUGGUGAAUCUUUACACUUAGUUUCUGUAAAACUUACUUUAAUGAUAUAAGUAUAAUUAAAGCUGGGAUAUGAUAACACAUAGAUACUGUAUGAAUACUGGGUAUGUAAAACUGGACUGUACUUAGUCCAAAUAACUAGACAAAAAUUAUAGAGUAUUAUGCAUAUGAGAAAGGGACUGACUGAGUAACAUGAGAUAACUGAGCAUGAAUUCUCGAAAAUUGUAUUAUUUAUGAAUACAAAAUCAAGCAUAUAACAUAUUCAAAAAUAGUCUGUAAACUGAGGUACUGAAAUACUGAUAACUGGAUAAUUGAUAAAAGUAUGCUAUGGUCAAGCAAACCUGAAACUGAACUGAGUUACUGAACUGAGUUACUGAUCUGAUUACUAGACUGAGACUGUGAUCGAGACUAUAACUAAGAUUGUAACUAAGACUCAUACUGGAACUAAAUACUGAGUUCUGAUAACUAAGUGACUAAUAUCUGGGAUUACUAAUAACUUUAUUACUGAUAACUGGGUUAUUGAUGACUGAUAUAUUAUUAACUGAGUGACUGUUUCUGAUAGUCUUAAUCUUAUGGAACUAGCUAAGUUCCGUACUGAGCUGAGUGACUGUAUCUGACAGUCCUGAUCUUGUGGAACUAGUUAAGUUUCGUACUAAGCUGAGUGACUGUAUCUGAUAGUCCUGAAUCUAUAGAACUGACUGAGUUCUAUUCUAAGACUGAAUCUAAAACUGGAACUGUGGGAGUUAAUCAUCUAACCGACAUACCCCUAUUUGAAAAAUUUUAGGUUCAACCUAUAACCCCAGUUGUAAGGGUAUCAGUACCAUGCCAUGGGUAAAGACACUGAAAAGGUACCCUCAUCUGGUAGUUACGCUAAUGAAAAUGGCGGUACCCUUAUCUGACAGGUUAAAACACCUCAUCAAUCCUCAUCUGGUAGGUUUGAUGUCUCAACCUACGCUUGCUACAUAAUUCUGGAAUGCAAAGAUUGCUUCUAAGGAUCAUACCCUCUACUGACAGGUGAGUUCCCAUCCUUGGGUUCACUCGGUGCUGAAUCCUACUCCUAUCUAAAUAGACACUAAACUAAUUUCCUAGUUCGUGCUAGGCUUAACAGAACUAUUACUAUUUGUACUUUUUAACUAAACUGAAUUGGGUUCACUGAGUUCCGUUGACUGAUGAAAAUACUACUAAAUUCUAUUAACUAACUAAAUACUAUAGAGUUCUGAACUGAAACUGAAUACUACUGAGGUCUAAACUAAAUACUGAAUACGACUAAGGUCUGAACUGAAUACUGAAUACUACUGAGGUCUGAACUAAUUACUGAAUAUGACUGAGGCUUGAACUGAAUACUGAACUGAACUAGACUGAUACUUGGAUUACUGAGAUUUUCCUGAGGUCUAUAACUGACUGACAGUACUACUGAUCAUGACGUAACUGAUAUUGUUUUGUAACUGACACUGGCGCUAGGUAAACAGCUAAUUGUUGGGUAUUAAAUACCCCCAGGAGUCGAUAGCAUGAAAGUAAAGCAUGGCAUGAUCAUAAUAGCAUAACAAUAGUCAAUUGUCAACAAUGCUUUCAUUUAGACAUUUUGUCAAACACUUGGAGGCUAUGGAAUUGUACAUAGAUGAGAACACAUGGUAACAUGUCAUGAUUACCCUACUCAAUUCACAUAGGCAUUCUAUCAAGCACAUGGAGAUUAAUACUUGGACAUGGGAAUAUCUUAAAAAUAUGGGAGCAUAGCAUGGUUUCAUAAGCAACAUUGUGAAUUGGGGAAAUUACAUGAAUUCACUUGAAAUAGGACAUGGGCAUUUUAUCACAACAUGUAAGGAUCAAGAAUGUGGAAAAUGUGAACUUAAAAUAAGGAAUUAUUUCUAAUUAUCUUGAAUAUAGGCCACCAUGGAAUCAAAAUAAAACUCUAAGGACAUGAUAUGUGAGACUUUGUUCAAAAUCAUUCUUAUAGGUAUUUCAUCAAACACUUGUAAUUCAUGGUUUAGGCUAAGAAUAGGAGUAGUUAAAAAUAGUAGUAAUAGCAUGAUUUCACCUCUAAAAUCAUCGAUUAGAGUUUAAAUUUGACAAACAAUACCAUUCAAACAUGUGAGGUUUAAUAUCACCCACAAUUUCAUGGAAACAUGAUAUAAGUUUGAGAUUCAUGAAAAUUUAUAAACAAAACUCAUGGGAACAUGCAAAGAUUAUAACUUUAAACUUGAAAUUUAAGUUUUGGGCUCCAUGGGUGAAAGAGGACCCAUGGAUGAACUCCCACAUACCUUAAAGCUUUAAUCUUGAAGGAGAAACACAAUCUUGAAAGAAUUCUUGAAUUAGGAAACUUGAUUCUUGAUUCUUUUCUUAAAGAAAAUUUCAUGGAGCUCUUGGUGUUCUUGAGGAGGCUAGGGUUUUGUUGGAGAGAAAAAAGAUGAUUAAUAAUGUAUCUAAUGUUUUGGGGGCUGAAAUUAUGUGUUAGGAUCAUAUUUGGGUGAGGAGAAUUGACCAAAGUAUCCCUAGACCUUUUAGGAAUUGAAUAAACAUGUAAAACAGCUUUGGAUCCGCUUCAGUUUUUUGUGUCGGGGCGCAGUCGACGCAACUUAUCGAGAUCGCAUCGGCUUAUUGCCUCACACAAAAAAUGCCAUAACUUUUUACUCGGGUAUCGAAUUUUGGCAAAAUUGGUAUCAUUGAAAAUCUAAUUCAAUUAUCUAUAAUUUGGUGGGUCUUGAGAUAUAAAAUUCCAUGUAUAUAAAAAAUUUUACACAUUUAAAUUAGACCCUUGUAGAAUCAAAUAUUAAAUUUUGGACGAAUCAAAUGAUCUUAGCUCAACUUGGCUCUAAGUGAUUCCUAUGAACAUUUUUAACCUCAAAAGCAAAUCAAACAUGAGGAUAAAGAUUUUAAAACUUAUAUUCAUAUGGGAAUCACUUGUAUUAUAGCUUAUACACAUAAGAAUGAUGGUUCAUAGACUAGCCCAAAAAUGUGGGGUAUUAAACUAGUACAGGAUAGAAAUCAAUUCAGUGUCUAUUCAGUUGGGAGUAGGAUUCAACACCAAGUUAACCCAAGGAUUGGGGAAGUCUUGUCAUUAAAGGGCUUGACCCCUAGAAGCAAUCCCUGAAUUAUAGAACUAUGUAGCCAGCGUAGGUUCAGGUAUCUUCCUACCAGACAUUAUGAGGGUUGAUACUUCUCACCCAAGUUAUCCUGCCUGCGAGGGUUGAUGAAAGAUCUUCCUAUCAGAGAGGGUUAACUCAUAGCUUGUCCUUACCCGUGGCACAGUAUUGAUACUCUUUCAACUGGGGUUACAGGUUGGACCCCAAUCAAUUUAGAGAGAGGCAUGUUGGUUAGAUGAUUACCUCUCACAUUCUCAAUUUCCAACUCAGUCUCAGAAUAGAACUCAGUUUAGUUCUACAGAUUCAAGACUACCAGAUGUAGUUACCCAAUUCAGUUUAGUGUAGAACUCAGUAUAGUUCCACAGAAUUUAAGACUGUCAAAUACAGUCAUUUUAGUUACCAGUAAUAUAGUAUCAGUAAACUCAAUUAAUCAGUAAUCAGUAUACGUAUUCAUGCAUGUACUCUUAUUCAGUCAUACUCAUGUUAUCCAUUUAGUAUUAUUCAUGCAUAUGAACCCAUAUAUUUUAGUCUACCUCACUAAACAUACUAGUACAUUCAAAGUACUAACACAUGUUUUUUGCACUAUGAUGUCUUAUAUCAUAGGUUCCAAUACACAAGCUCUAGGGCACCUUUAGUAGACCAGAUUUUCAGCAUUCAGCAUAGUGUGAGUCCUCAUAGUUCAAGGACUUGGUUACUAUUUAUAGUAUUUUAGUUUAUGCGAGUAGAUGGAGUUAGUUGAGUACUUGUUCCAUCAACUCCACAGUUCAGACAGUGAGAGGCUUCUUAGACUAGAGUAUUUCAAACAGUUAUUCAGAUUUCAGUUUUGUCUUUAAUUUUUUUGGUAUUUGCGAUACCUCUUUCAGUAUUAUCAGUAUUAUUUACAGAUUGAACCUUAUGGAAAGUUUUUGCCAAUUUUUGUAUAUAUAUAUAUAUAUAUAUAUUACUGUGUUAUUGUAGCAGGUAUCAGUCAUAGGUUAGCUUAUGGUCCCUCGGGAUUAUGAGCACCAUAUAGCGUUCAGGGUACAGACUCGGGGUAUUACAAACUUAGUACCAGAAUCUAAGGUUCAAUAGAGUCCUCGGAAGUCUGGAAGCCACUUAUAGUAGAGUCUUGUACAUGGGUGUGUUGCACGCUACACUUAUGGAUAGGAGACUUCCCUUCUUUCAGUAUUCAUGUCAUGCGAGUGAGCAUGAGCUCCAGUUAUACUCUUUUUCUAAUCCAAGUUUCUCUUCUAUUUAUAGAAUAUACCUUCAAAGAGGACUCAGGGAAGAGAAAUGGGAGAUCAGUCAGCCCCUUAGCCCAUAUAUCUAGAUCCUUUGCGUGAUCAUAUCUCCCGUGCGGAGUUCAAAGAAGCCUUCACCACCCAAGCCCAUUCUUUGGUAGCCCAGAAUAAACUCUCAACUAUGGUUCCAGCCAACCCAGCGGCCAAUAAUAUUGCUACCAAGAUUUGGGACUUUACCUAAAUGCACCCUCCAUAUUUCACAGGGUCUAAGUCAGAUGAGAACUCUUAGGAAUUUCUUAACCAAGUGCAGAAAGUUACCGACAUUAUAGGGGUGACUGUUGUUGUGAGCACUGAGUUAGCCGUAUAUCAGUUAUAGGAUAUGGCUCACUCAUGGUGUAAAUAGUGAAAGGCAGAAAGGGCCACAGAUACAAGGCCCAUAGAAUGGGAAGAGUUUGCAAUUGCUUUUCUGGAUAGGUUUUUUCUGCUAGAGUUGAGGGAAGCAAAUAUUUUGGAGUUUAUUAACUUGAAGUGGUGCAAUAUAACAGUGUAGAAGUAUUCUCUCAAGUUUACUUAGUUAGCCAGAUAUGCCCCGUAUAUUGUAGCAGAUAGCAGAGCGAAGAUUAGUAAGUUUGUGUCGGGAGUGUCUAGCAGUAUGGUCAACGAGUGUAGGACCACAAUGCUUAUUAAGGAUAUGGACAUAGCUAGGAUCAUAGUCCAUUAUAAGUAGAUAGAGAAGGUCAAGAAUAAAAAGAAAGAGAGGGAGAAUAAAAAGCGAGAAUAAGUAGUUUCAAUUUCGCUCAGCUUAAGUUAGAGGGUGGGAAUCAAUCUCAGUUCCACCCAAAAUCCUUAUUUCCAGCUCCAUCUUUAGCCGGUGCUCUAUUGCCAAAAUUUAGAGAUGGAAAUAGGGAUAAGGCGUCAGUCCCUAAGCCCCAGGGCAGUGUAAUAGUGCCCGAACUAACCCCCUUUGCCAGAAAUAUGGCAAAAACCACCAGGGUAUCUAUAGAGCUUGUAGUGAUAUAUGUUUCAAAUAUGGCAAGCUAGGCCACAGGGCCAGACAAUUUCCUUAGGUUGGUUUGUAGAAUCAGUAUAACUGUCUCUCUACUCAGUUCGGUCACCCAAAUCAGCAGGGUGGCUCAUCCAGUGCCACCAGUGGCCAGUGCCCAAACAGACUCUAUUCUUUUUAGUCCUGACAAGAUUAGGAAAGUUCUCUUGAUGUGUUCACUGGGAUGUUACAUGUUUUCCAUUUUUAUAUUUACGCUUUGUUAGAUCCUGGAGCUUCUUUGUCUUUUGUUACUCCAUAUAUAGCAGUUGAUUUUGGAGUCAGUCCCAAAAUUCUAGCAGAUCCUUUCUCAGUUUCUACCCCAGUGGGUAAGUCUAUCAUAGCCCGAUGGGUAUACAGGAACUGUCCGAUUAUGAUAUCUCAGAAAGUCACUUUAACAGACUUAGUCAAAUUAGAGAUGACUGAUUUUGAUGUCAUUCUCAGCAUGUAUUGGCUUUAUUCUUGAUAUGCCUUAGUCAAUUGCAGAAAUAGAAUUGUUCAGUUUUAGCUUUUGAAUGAACCCAUCCUAGAUUGGAGGGGUAGUACUUUAACACUUAGGAGUUAAAUUAUUUCUUACCUUUGGUCUAGAAAGAUGAUAUCUAAGGGAUGUGUCUACCAUCUCGUUCGAGUCCAGGACUCUAGUUCAGAAACCCCUACUCUUGAAUUAGUAUUAGUAGCAUGUGAAUUCCCAAAUAUGUUUCCCGAUGAUCUUUCCAAAGUUUCUCCCAAAAGGGAAAUUGAUUUUGAAAUUGAUUUUCUCAUAGAUACUCAGCCCAGCUCUAUUUCGCCAUAUAGAAUGGCUCCAACAGAACUUGGAGAAUUAAAAAAAGAGUUAAAGAAUGUCCUAGAUAAGGGAUUUAUUAGACUCAGUAUAUCCCUAUGGGGCGCACCAGUGUUAUUCAUGCUUAAGAAAGAUGGUUCUCUUAGAAUAUGUAUAGACUACCAUUGAUUAAAUAAAGUUAUGAUCAAGAAUAAGUAUUCACUUUUCAGAAUCGAUGAAUUGUUUGACCAACUUUAGGGUGCCAGCUAUUUCUCUAAGAUAGACCUUAGAUCAGGCUAUCAUCAGCUCAGAAUCAGGGAAUAUGACAUCCCAAAAAUAGCUUUCAAAACUCGGUAUGGUCACUUCGAAUUCUUAGCCAGGUCCUUUGGUCUUACCAAUGCCCCAGCAGCUUUCAUGGACUUGAUGAACCGUGUGUUCAAGCAGUACUUGGAUAUGUUCGUUAUAGUCUUCAUAAAUGAUAUCCUUGUUUACUCUCGUAGUGAGCAUGAUCACGUAGACCAUCUUAGAAUAGUACUCCAAACUCUUAGAAAUAAUCAGCUAUUCGCCAAAUUCAGUAAGUGUGAAUUUUGGCUAAGGUCAGUAGCAUUCCUUGGACACAUCAUUUCCAAUGAUGGCAUUAGAGUGGAUCCCUAAAUGACCAAAGCAGUGAGAAACUGGCCCAGAACCAUUUCUCCAUCAGAUAUCAAUAGUUUUAUGGGCUUAGCCGGCUAUUACCGAUGGUUUGUUGAGGGAUUUUCAUCUAUAUCAGGGAGUUGGUCAGAUUACACGAUGUUCCGUUGUCUAUUAUCUCAGAUAGAGGUACCCAAUUCAUCUCUUAUUUCUAAAAAGUGUUCCAAAAGGGUCUUGGUACCUAAGUUCAUCUCAGUACAACCUUUCAUCCUCAUAUAGAAGGUCAAGUACAAAGGACCAUUCAAACCCUAGAAGAUAUGCUGUGAGUGUAUGCAAUAGACUUCAAAGGUAGUUGGGAUGACCACUUGCCUUUGAUUAAAUUUUCAUACAACAACAGCUAUCAUUUCAGUAUUUAGAUAGCUCCAUUUGAGGUGCUUUAUAGGAGGAGGUGUAGAUCUCCUAUUGGUUAGUUUGAAGUGGGUGAGGCCGUAGUGGUAGGGCAUGACUUGGUGUUUGAUACCUUAGAGAAGAUCCAGUUGAUCAGGGAAAGCUUAAGACAGCUCAGUGCCAACAGAAAGCAUACUCUGAUGUCCGAACAAAAGAUCUCAAGUUCGAGAUUAGAGCUUUUGUGUUUCUGAAAAUCUCUCCUAUGAAAGGAGUAAAGAGAUUUGACAAAAAAGGAAACUCAGUCCCCGAUAUGUCAGUCCUUACUGAAUUCUCAACCACUUUAGAAAGGUAGCUUACGAGCUUGAGUUAUCUUCAAAUUUAUCACUAGUUCAUCUGGUGUUCCAAGUCUCCUUGCUAAAGAAAUAAAUAAGUGACCCAGUAGUCGUAGUCCCUAUAGAGGGCAUAGAUAUUCAGAACAGCCUCUCUUAUGAAGAGAUCCUAAUCAAAAUCCUUGACUAUCAAAUUCGCAGGAUGAGGAACAAAGAAGUUCGUCUAGUCAAAGUUCUUUGGUGGAAUCAGUCCAUUGAGGGAGCUACUUGGUAACCAGAAGCAGACAUGUGCACCAAUUAUCCUUAUUAAUUCUCUGCUAAUCCAGACUCAGCUAAAGGUAAUAGUUAUUCAGUUUCAUAUUCAGAUAUCAGUUAUAAACUUGGUAUUAGUUACUAUUACAUAUUCAGUUACAUGUUCAUGAGCUAGUUUAGUCAUGUAUCCAUGCAUCAGAUAUGCAUGUUCAGUACAUAGACUUAGCUUAUCAAUAAUCCCAGUCAUGUAUUCAUGAAUCAUUUUUAGCUAUGUACUCAUGCAUCAGAUAUGCACAUUCAUUAUGAUAAUUCAGUGUAUUAGUAAUCUUAAUCAGGAAACCAUGUCUCAGUUGUGCAUGCCCAGUGUCUAAGUUCAAUCUCUCGGUAUUCUCGGUCUCAGCAGUCUCAUUUAAGGAUGAAUGUUCCCAAGGGGGAGAUAAUGUAAGACCCCACAAAAUCCUAAGCUUAAUUUAGUCCUUUAGGAUUGUCAAGGGGUCCCAGACAUAGAAUAUUUUAGCUAAGUACUACGACUUAGUGUCAUUUUAGCCUACAACAUUUGGCAAUCUUAUUUUGUGACCUUUAUGUCCAUUAGAAUUUUGAUGUUUAGGUUGAUUUGUGAUCAGGAAUGUUCGUAGGUAUUUCCGGACAAGUUUUGGAUUUUUUGGACUUCAUUUGAAGCUUCUCUGGAAUUUUAAAUAGUGGAUCAACGCGAUCAUGGCACGCCGCAUCGACUAUCGCAUUGAUUAAUAUUUUUCCCCAGAUACUAGUGUCAAGUUCCAGUGAAUCGAUGUGAACAUGGCACGAUACAUUGGCUAUUGCAUCGAUGCCAUCAACACACUGUGUCGACCUACAUGUCGGUAGCCUAGUUUUCAGUCAUUAAAAGACCAUGUUCUUAGGGGUAUUUGGGUCUUUUCCCCACGUCCUUUAGCCCCCAAACCACAAAAUUAAGCCCUUUGGAGUGCAAAUAUACUCAUUCAUUCUCCAAUUUGAUCAAGAACAAAACCCUAGGUGCUCAAGUUUUAAAUCAAGAACUCAAGAUUCAACCAUAAACUUUCAGAAAUUCUUCAACAAAGGUAUGUGAAGUGUUCAUCCAAGGGUUCCUUCCACCCUUGGAGUCCAAGAAUCCCUUUUGAACUUCAAGUAAUUGAUUUUAUGAUUUUUCGUGGUUGGAAUUGAGUGUAUUCAUGAUUGUUGUUUGAAUUAGGUUCCUAAUUCAUGUUUUAUUACAUGUCUCAUGUGGAAUUUAUUAUCAUGUGUGUAAAUCCAUAUUAAGUCUUUAAAUUGUGAAAGUUGGAAUUUAAUCUUGAUGCCCAAUUGUUGUUCAAAGUUAUGAGCAUAUGUUAUGCUAACUAAGUGCUUGAAGAAUUGUUCAUGUGAACUAUUAAGAAAAUGCAAUUAUGUCAAACUAGCUUAUGUGCAAGCUAUAUCAUGCAAGUGUUUGUCAAAAUGCCUCAAUGAAUAAGUGAUGAUCAAUUUCACAGUUUACAUGUUUCAUGUUUAUGCCAUGUCUCUUAAUUUAUGCUAUCGAGUCCUGGGGGUACUUAUACCCAACAAUUUAGAUACUUGUCUAGAGCCAUGUCAGUCAUAGAACAAUGUCAGCCAUGUCAUGAUCAGUAGUACUCUCAAUCAGUUAUAGAACUCAGGAAAACUCAAUAAAGUCAGUAAUAGUUUAGUCUAACUCAAUAUUCAGUUCAGACCUCAGUAAAAUCAGUCAUCUAAUAGAAUUCAAUAGUAUUCCAUUAGUCUACGAAAUUCAGUGAACUCAGUUCAGUUCAGCUAAAUAGUAAUCUCAGUAACUAUUCAGUCUAGCCUAGUAUAGGCUAGAAAUCAGUUCAGUGUCUAUUCAGUUGGUAGUAGGAUUCAGCNNNNNNNNNNNNNNNNNNNNNNNCUGUCAGCGGAGGGUUUGACCCUAGCAGCAAUCCAUGCAUUAUAGAACUACGUAGCCAGCAUAGGUUGAGGUAUCUUCCUUCCAGACAUUAUGAGGGUUGAUACUUCUCACCUGAGUUAUAUUGCCAGUGAGGGUAGACGGAAGAGCUUCCUAUCAUAGAGGGUUAACUCAUAGCUUGUCCUUACCCAUAGCUCGGUAUUGACACCCUUCCAAUUGGGGUUAUAGGUUGGACACUAAUCAAUUUUGAGAGGGGCAUGUCAGUUAGAUGAUUACCUCCCAUAGUCUCAGUUUUUGACUCAUUCUCAUUAUGAAACUCAAUUCAGUUCUAUAGAUUCAGGACUAUCAGAUAUAGUUACCCCAUUCAGUUCAGUUUGGAACUCAAUAUAGUUCCAUAGAAUUUAGGACUAUCAGAUACAGUCAUUUAGUUACCAGUAAUAAAGUAUCAGUAAACUCAGUUAAUCAAUAAUUAGUAUUCAGACUCAGUAGAUUGAGUGUAGCACCUUUUCAAUUACAGUAUACGUAUUCAUGCAUGUACUCUUAUUCAGUCGUACUCAUGUUAUCCAGUUAGUAUUGUUCAUGCAUAUGAACCCAUGCAUUUAUCCUACCUAACUUAGCAUACAGUACAUUCAAAGUACUGACGCAUGAUGUUUGCGCUAUGAUAUCUUAUAUCAUAGGUUUCGAUGCAUGGGCUGUAGAGAACCCUCGGUAGACCAAAUUUUCAGUAUUCAACAUAGUGGUAGUCGUCAUAGUUCGACGACAUGAUUACUAUUUACAGUAUUUUAGUUUUUGCCUGUAGACGGAGUUAGUUGGAAACUUGUCCCAUCAACUCCACAAUUCAGACAGUUAGAGGCUUCCCAAACUAGAGUAUUUCAGAUAGUUAUUCAGAUUUUAGUUUUUGCGUUUUUGUGAUACCUCUUUCAGUAUUAUCAGUAUUAUUUAUAGAUUGAACCUUAUGUCAAGUUUCUGCCAAUUUUCGCAUAUAUAUAUAUGUUACUAUAUUAUUGUUCAGUUAUUGCGGCAUAUACCAGUCAUGGGUUAGCUUGUGGUUCCUCGGGAUUAUGAGCAUCGUGUAGCAUUCGGAGUACAGACUCGGGGUAUUACACCUAGUGGGUCCAUACAGGAGUUCCUUAUUCCUACAUGGAAAUGGGAAUAAGUGAACAUGGACUUUGUGAUGGGUUUGCCUCGUACUUGUCAUCAGCAUAAUUUGAAUUAGGUUAUUAUUGAUAGGAUGACCAAAUCCGCUCAUUUCUUGCCAGUCCAUACAUCAUAUUUAGUCGAGGACUAUGCCAAACUCUAUAUCAGAGUGUUGUUCCAGUUAUAUGGAGUACCUGUAUCCAUCAUUCCAGAUAGAGGUAUCUAGUUCAUCUCUCAUUUUUGGAAAGCCUUCCAAAAGGGUCUUGGUACCCAAAUUCACCUCAGUACAACUUUUCACCCUUAGACAGAUGGUCAAGCAAAAAGGACCAUUCAAACUAUAGAAGAUAUGUUAAGAGCAUGCAUUGUUGAUUUUAAAGGUAGUUGGGAUGACCACUUUCCUUUGAUCGAAUUCUCAUAUAAUAACAGCUAUCAUUCUAGUAUUUAGAUGGCUCCGUUUGAGGCUCUUUAUGGUAGCAGGUGUAGAUCUCCAAUUGGUUGGUUCAAGGUAGGUGAGGCCACAGUAGUUGGUCCUGACUUAGUGUUUGAUGCCUCAGAGAAAUUUUAGUUGAUCAGAGAAAAGCAUAGGGCAGCCCAGAGCUAAUAGAUUAAUAUGUACAAAUUAUUUCUGUACAAUUUUUUUUUGUUUUUUAUCACUUUUAUUAAUAUGUAGCCUGGAAAAAAUGUUGGUUGAAUUAUGGCAAUUCUUGUUGUUUUUCUGGAGGACCACACUUCCAUGGUAAUUGUCAUGAUGUUAAAGAGAGAAGGUUGUGUGCACCUACCCAAUAAUUUGAAUUGAAUAUAUGUCAGAUGUGUAGUGCUCAGGAUGGCCAUUAUAAGGGCUGACCCAACUUAUAUAUUCCCUCCCUUGAACCCCUAUUAUGAUCGGCUUAUUAUUUUUGAUGUUCGUAGGGCUAAUGGAGCUAAUGAGGCAGAACAUAAGGCACACCUCAUAGAUCGGCUGAAGCAGAUACUAGAGCUAUAGGCACAACAACUGGAAUCCACGAGGGAAGCUAUGGAUAAGAAGAGAUUUCAAGCCAAGAGCUAUAAGCUAGGGCUAACACUUUGUCUGAACAGCAGAGCAUGGUCUUAUCUAACACAAGAAGAGCCCCUGAUUGAUAAACAAAAGAAGGCACUAGCAGCAAAAAGUUGUGAUGAAGAAGACAUAGUAAGCCAAGAUUGGCUAAUAAAACUAGAACAGCAAAUCAAAUUUCAAGAAUUUCUCUGAGAUGGUCUCACAAUCAUGGAAAUCCAACUAAAUGGGGGGAGAAUUGAGCUCAUGCAAUAUAUAGAUUAAUUUGGCAUAGAUAUCCAUAACUUCAAACCCCACUUAAAUAAAAAGUUUAAGACAUAUGAUGUCCAAUCACCAUUUUUUAUGGAUACUAGCCAACCUGUGGAGAAAAUAAAAGAAUUCAAACCAUUCAACUAUCAUCUUUUUCUUGAGACUAACAUUGAGAAUGUGUAUAAAAAUGAGCAUACUGGAAUGGUACAAGUUUAGAAAGUGGGGGUAUUGGACUUUAUUCGAAUAACUUUUCUACAUUAUGUUUAAAUGAUGUCAUGUCUUUUUAGUCAUUUAAACUAGUGGAGGAGUAUGUAUAUGAGGAACAAGAAUCCUACAUUCUUCAAUUUGCACUAAAAAAGAAACAAAAGAACAUGCCUCACUCCAAAUCCAAGUGGUUCUACUGGCACCAUCUAAUACUUGGUUCCUUCAUCUUUCUACCAUCACCCUAUGAGAGAAUCAAAGAGAUGGAUGUGAUGUUGGGGGUGAAAUUCAUAUCCUCGAGGUGGAGGAAAAUAUUAAUAGGUUGUACGGUGAUGUUAAAUCAGAUGUUUUGAGAGGCAAGCCAACGUUUAUUUAGUAGUUUGUUCUUAUUUUGUUUUUUAUUAGUGUCACCUUUGUUUUUGUGUUUAUGGCUGAGAAAAAGUCUAAUGUACCCUAAAUCUGAGCUAAGGUGCAUGAUGAAAGCAUAAAUGUGGGGUUCCUCAGCCCCUUAAUGGAAAUCUGUGAAAGUGACAUGCUACUAGCUAGGCCUAGAGGCCUUAGGGAGUAUUUCUAAUCCUUGUUAUUAAUUUUAUACUUUGGGGACAAAGUAUAAUUUUAAGUGUGGAGUGGAGAAUCUUUCGAUUUGUUUAGAGUGAAUUGUUCUAUAGGAUUUUUAUUUUUAUUUAUUUGCAAGUAUUUUGACUAAAUUUAAAAGAAUUAAAAAAAGAUUUUAUCCUUGUUUAUUUUCAACUUUGACUAGGUUGUCUGAUUAGUAGAAGCAUACUUCACCCACCCCUCAAUUUUACUUUUCGGCUCUUUUCUGAGGGGGAGCACUUUGACCCAGUAUCCUUUAAUAUAUUUAGGAGUAAUUGGAAAAUAUUUGUCAUUAGGAAUAAAUAGAGAUGCUCUAGCUAGGUUCUACCCAUGAUUAUAUGUUGCAUGUGGUGUUGAAUUCUAAGUCAUGAUGUGAAAGUUAAAUGACUUCAGUAAGAUAUUGUCACUACCCAAACCAGGGUCAGGCUGUGACGGGUAUCUCAGGUCCACCGAGAACUAGAUACGACCCCUUUUAUGCCUAGCCAAACAAACAUAACACUCCUAGUAGUAGCUGAAAUUCGAACAUAUAACAAGAUAAGAAAAGUAAUGAACUCAAAGAUAUCUAAGAGUGUCUACAUCAAUACCUAAUCCAAAGUAAUAUCCAAAAAGCCUCUACUAAGCCAAAAACAAUCAAAGCCGGGACAUGCCCCCAACCC
rnacentral:lncRNA from 1 species